CUAGUCGGUGGAUCACUCGGCUCGUGGGUCGAUGAAGAUCGCAGCUAAAUGCGAUAGUUGGUGCGAACUGCAGAUAUUCUGAGCACUGAUCAAUCGAAUGCACAUUGCGCCUUGGGGCUUCUGUCCCUUGGCACAUCUGGUUCAGGGUCUUCUGUA
rnacentral:rRNA from 1 species